rnacentral:rRNA from 1 species
AUGUUAGCGGCGGACGGGUGAGUAAAACGUGGAUAACCUACCUAUAAGACUGGGAUAACUUCGGGAAACCGGAGCUAAUACCGGAUAAUAUUUUGAACCGCAUGGUUCAAAAGUGAAAGACGGUUUUGCUGUCACUUAUAGAUGGAUCCGCGCUGCAUUAGCUAGUUGGUAAGGUAACGGCUUACCAAGGCAACGAUGCAUAGCCGACCUGAGAGGGUGAUCGGCCACACUGGAACUGAGACACGGUCCAGACUCCUACGGGAGGCAGCAGUAGGGAAUCUUCCGCAAUGGGCGAAAGCCUGACGGAGCAACGCCGCGUGAGUGAUGAAGGUCUUCGGAUCGUAAAACUCUGUUAUUAGGGAAGAACAUAUGUGUAAGUAACUGUGCACAUCUUGACGGUACCUAAUCAGAAAGCCACGGCUAACUACGUGCCAGCAGCCGCGGUAAUACGUAGGUGGCAAGCGUUAUCCGGAAUUAUUGGGCGUAAAGCGCGCGUAGGCGGUUUUUUAAGUCUGAUGUGAAAGCCCACGGCUCAACCGUGGAGGGUCAUUGGAAACUGGAAAACUUGAGUGCAGAAGAGGAAAGUGGAAUUCCAUGUGUAGCGGUGAAAUGCGCAGAGAUAUGGAGGAACACCAGUGGCGAAGGCGACUUUCUGGUCUGUAACUGACGCUGAUGUGCGAAAGCGUGGGGAUCAAACAGGAUUAGAUACCCUGGUAGUCCACGCCGUAAACGAUGAGUGCUAAGUGUUAGGGGGUUUCCGCCCCUUAGUGCUGCAGCUAACGCAUUAAGCACUCCGCCUGGGGAGUACGACCGCAAGGUUGAAACUCAAAGGAAUUGACGGGGACCCGCACAAGCGGUGGAGCAUGUGGUUUAAUUCGAAGCAACGCGAAGAACCUUACCAAAUCUUGACAUCCUUUGACAACUCUAGAGA